rnacentral:tRNA from 1 species
GGCCCGGUAGUUUAGUUGGUUAGAAUGCCGCCCUGUCACGGCGGAGGUCAAGGGUUCAAGUCCCUUUCGGGUCGCCA